ACCUCCUUAUUUAAGAUCUGUAUCAAAAUAGCAGAACCUGGUAUGUCUAAGUAUUUGUGAUAAAGCUAGCAGAGCAAACACAAGAAGAAAAACAACUAUUCCAGGUAGUAGAAAAAAUAAGAUGAACCUCUUUUUUAGUCCAGGGUGCUUUAUUCUAAGAUUUGGUACAAUAAUA